GGCGUAAGAGCUCGUAGGUGGUUUGAUACGUCGGGUGUGAAAUUCAGGGGCUCAACCCCUGACCUGCAUUCGAUACGGUCAAGCUAGAGUUUGGUAGGGGAGACUGGAAUUCCUGGUGUAGCGGUGGAAUGCGCAGAUAUCAGGAGGAACACCGAUGGCGAAGGCAGGUCUCUGGGCCAAUACUGACACUGAGGAGCGAAAGCGUGGGGAGCGAACAGGAUUAGAUACCCUGGUAGUCCACGCCGUAAACGGUGGGCGCUAGUUGUGCGAACCUUCCACGGUUUGUGCGACGCAGCUAACGCAUUAAGCGCCCCGCCUGGGGAGUACGAUCGCAAGAUUAAAACUCAAAGGAAUUGACGGGGCCCCGCACAAGCAGCGGAGCAUGCGGCUUAAUUCGACGCAACGCGAAGAACCUUACCAAGGCUUGACAUAUACAGGAAUACGGCAGAGAUGUCGUAGCGGUUAAACGUCUGUAUACAGGUGGUGCAUGGUUGUCGUCAGCUCGUGUCGUGAGAUGUUGGGUUAAGUCCCGCAACGAGCGCAACCCUCGUUCUGUGUUGCCAGCAUUUAGUUGGGGACUCACAGGAGACUGCCGGGGUCAACUCGGAGGAAGGUGGGGAUGACGUCAAAUCAUCAUGCCCCUUAUGUCUUGGGCUGCACGCAUGCUACAAUGGCUGGUACAAAGGGCUGCAAUACUGCAAAGUGGAGCGAAUCUCAA
rnacentral:rRNA from 1 species